rnacentral:lncRNA from 1 species
GGGGAACGGUGCCCUGGGGCGGGGAUCCCGGGAAAGGGAUCCCGGGAAAGGGACCGGGAGCUCCGGGACGGGGAACGGUGCCCUGGGGCGGGGAUCCCGGGAAAGGGACCGGCAGCUCCGGGACGGGGAAUGGUGCCCUGGAACAGGGGCUGUGCUGCCUGGUGUGUCCUGCACCCAAAAGAGCUCCCCUCACACCCCAAAUAUUGGGUGCUUUCUACCCCCUUCCAGGACAGGGGGGAGAAAGCAGAUCCUGCACCCAAGGGAAACCCCACCCCAUGACCCCACUCAGCAGGGUCAGUGCUGCUCCCACCUCCCUGGGUGCACCCCCAGACCCUGCUCACAUCGGUGUUUACUGAAACCACAGAACCCUCCCAAAUGAAUGCAGAAUAAACCACACAAUAAAUCCCCUUGCAACACUCGGGCACCUCAGAACCAGAACCAGCCUUGGGCUUCUUCCAUUGCUCUGCACACGAGAGACCCCCAGGCUGCGUGGGCCCCCUCCUCUCCCAGCUGCAGGCAAUGAUCCCCCCUGGUUAUAGGCAGCAGAUCCCAGCUCCCUCUCUGCUCCUGGGGGAGGACAAGACUGGAGGAGCUCUCAGAGGUGAGCUGUGAAGAAAACUCUUCUAAAAUGCCUUAUUUGUGCUUUGCUUUUAUUAUGUGUGAUCAGCUUUGCAGAGGGGGUGGUUUCUGGCUUUGCUUAUGCAAUGUGAUGCAUGGCUUUGGUGUUAUUGUAAGUGCCUAAUUUGCCUGAUGCUAGUUAGUGCCCUGGCAAGGACAGGGUGAGGGCAGCAGUGUGUUCAGCCCCUGCUUGGCUCUCUCUCAGCAGAGGUUUUGCAGCCACAGGCAGCGUGUGUGACCCCAGACCCACGUGUGGGCAGCAGCGAUGGAGCCAGGACCCCCUGCCCUCCACAGCCCCCUUGGUCCUUCUGCCCCCCCUGAGCCCCCGAAGGCAGCAGAGGGAUGUGCCUGGCAGAGCCUCCGCUGCCUCCAACUCCACAGGCAGAAGAAGAAAGUGGCUUAUUCAGCCCAUAUCUGCAAGCUCCUAAACCGGACGUGCUCCACGGGGGAUUCUUGCCUGGUGGCUUCCAUGCUGGCCUGGCUAGGCAGUCCCCAGCUCCUCGCAGAUGUGGCCCUGGAGGCCUCCCGGCUGUCCUGCUAUGGCAGAAGGAGCCACCUUGGCCACCGUGAAGUUCUGCUGGCUGCAAAACUGGUGCUGCUGCGUGAGCUCUACAAGCCUCCUCCAGGAUCUUGAGCUAUGAGCUGAGGCAGGAUGGGACAGUCUUUGUAGUAUUUUAAUGUGG